AAUAAUAAUAAUAAUAAUAAUAAUAAUAAUAAUAAUAAUAAAAACAUUGGCAGAAAUGUACAUUUUGAAAGACACCGCAGUAAAAGCUUCCAAGCUCCAGAAAUAAAAGACACUAAUAAUUUAAUAACGUUUUUCUGAGGAGACGGCAGACUCGUAACGACACCACAGACACAAAACCAUCGCAGGAAGUCGGCUCUGAUAUUAUAACGCAGUUCUGAUCUUUUAUAAAGACCCUCUUUCUCCUUUCUAAAUAAAAUAACCACUGAUUUGUUCCAGUUAUUGAACCUGUCUGAGAAACUCCCUAAACUAUAAAACCGUUUAAAGCAUUAUGAAGAUCAGUGAGUGUCGAGUGAAUGAGUGAGUGGAUGAAUGAGUGAGUGAGUGAGUGAAUGAGUGAGUGAGUGGAUGAAUGAGUGAGUGAAUGAGUGAGUGAAUGAAUCAGUGGGUGAGUGGAUGAAUGAAUGAGUGAGUGAAUGAGUGAAUGGGUGAAUGAAUGAGUGAGUGGAUGAAAGAGUGAGUGAAGUGAAUGAGUGAGUGGAUGAAAGAGUGAGUGAGUGAGUGAAUGAGUGAGUGAUGAGUGAAUGAGUGAAUGUAUGAGUGAGUGAGUGAGGAAUGAAUGUGAAUGAGUGAGUGAAUGAGUGAGUGAGUGAGUGAAUGAGUGAGUGAAUGUAUGAGUGAGUGAGUGAGGGAAUGAGUGAGUGAAUGAGUGAGUGAAUGAAUGAGUGAGUGAAUGAGUGAGUGAAUGAAUGAGUGAACGAAUGAGUGAAUGAAUGAGUGAGUGAGUGAAUGAGUGAGUGAAUGAGUGAGUGAGUGAGUGAUGAAAUGAGAGAGUGUGUGAGUGAGUGAGUGAAUGAGUGAGUGAAUGAGUGAGUGAGAGAGUGAGUGAAUGAGAGAGUGAGUGAGUGAGAGAGUGAGUGAAUGAGUGAGUGAGUGA
ensembl:lncRNA